UACGGAGGGUGCAAGCGUUAUCCGGAUUUACUGGGUUUAAAGGGUGUGUAGGCGGACAUUUAAGUCAGCGGUGAAAUCUCCGAGCUCAACUUGGAAACUGCCAUUGAUACUAUUUGUCUUGAAUUCUGUUGAGGUGGGCGGAAUAAGUCAUGUAGCGGUGAAAUGCAUAGAUAUGACUUAGAACCCCGAUUGCGAAGGCAGCUCACUAACCAGACAUUGACGCUGAGGCACGAAAGCGUGGGGAUCAAACAGG
rnacentral:rRNA from 1 species